AGUAGUCAAGACAUACUAUACUUGGGCGUCAAUGAGGAUAGAGCUGUAUGGGUGCAAAUAUUAGUAAAGCUCACCAUUUAUGCAGUCAGUCCUGAUGGAGACCCCCCCCGUAAAUAAGUGGAUAACAAUAAAACAUGUGAUACAGAUAAGGAAAUGCCAAUUAUAAAGGCUUUGAAUAAAUUAAAUGAAGAUUAA